rnacentral:lncRNA from 1 species
CCAAAUAUGGAUGCACCAAUCCAAAUUUAAUCAGGCUCCAAUACGGAUAUAGGACCAACGUUUCUCAUAAGCUCCUACCAAACCAGCUUUUUAUGCCAAUAUGACAGUUAAAUGUCAUGAGCAGAGACUUGACAUAACUGCAACAAAGUAAAUUGUACAGAAGUAUCAUAUCAAUCACGUAUAGAAACUAAUCUUAAAUUCCCUAUUCAAGACCACUCAAAUUUCCAUCGAUAUUGUCUUGCAUAACAACUAAAUCUCAUUUUGUUAUUGUUUAGUGCCCUCGUUUUGUUCAAGACAUAGCUCAUAGAUCAGCUAGUUGCUGGUUUUCCCUAAAUGCAUUGAUACCUUCACUGAAGUGCAGUCUAAGUGACGAUAUCUAUAACAUAUUCAUAAAUAUACCUCAAGACAGUAGCCAAGCCGGGAUUUUCACUAAGGGGUGUGAAAUAUGAAGAAGUAAACACAUAAGAAGCCAAAAAAAUUCAACAUAUAUAUAGUAUAUAUACAUAAAAGAGAAUUUACCUAUCCACAUUGUAAUUUUGCAGCGAAGGGGUGUCCUUUGGACAAGGGUGGCUCCAUCACAGCCUUUAGCAAGCCUUUGACAAAUCUGCUCCCAGCAUAGGUAACCUGACUCAACGGUUCACUGCAAAUAGGGAGAAAAGCAGAGAAACGGGAAUAGAUGCAGGCACACAAAUGACAGAUCAAGGAAAUAUUAGAUGAUGAAAAGCAAGAAAGUUCGGAAACAGCCUCUCUAUCUUUACUAGGUAAGGUAAAGGUCUGUGUACACUCUACUCUUCUCACAGACCCUGCUUGUGUGAUUAUACAAGGUAUGUUGUUGAUGUAAAAAACAAGAAAGUAAAAAAUCUCCUUAUUAAAUGUGCACAGAAUUACUAAACCACCUAUAAUCCUGCAAAUACAAGGUGUCAGAACUCAGAAAAGAUAACAAGUUUGGAUCACAAAGUUUCACAAGGUCCAGAUGUUUGAUCAUGUGAGAAGUUUUUUCCAUGGGAGUGCAUACACAAUACUCACGAAUAGAAAAGUGUGUAUAGGUCAAGUAUGCUCACACUUAAAUUAGCACCUCAGAAAAUGUCACCAAAUUAAGGCAAGAGUCUGAAAAGGUAUCUACGUAACAUAAUGACUCGAUUUAAAGAAUCCAACCAAACUCUAUAACUCUAACAAAUAUGUAAGAAGAGGAGAGAAAUCUGCUAGUAUCUCAUGCAAAGUUCUAACAGCUGAACAUACAAAAUAGCUUAACAUCAUCUAAAUAAGAAAGCAGAUCACGAUGCUUCCAAUGCUACUGAUGCAGCUGAACAUACAAAAUGGCUAAACAUCAUCAAACAAGAUGGCUCUACACAGAAAGAAAGAAAAGAAACAGUUCUAGCUCAAAUAAUUUAACCUGUUAGAUCAUAGACACGGCAUAUUAUAGAUGAUAAGGAACAUUCACAAAGAAGCAUUAGGUUGAAAACUAACUCGUCAUGAUUACUCACAAAAAAAAUGAUUAUGGCUAUUAAAUGUUGAAUGUUGUUUCUUUACUCUGCAACAACAUUUAGUUGGUAUACAUAAGAAGUUCUAUUCAGUAUUCAUUAUUUGGCAAAAGACGGAAGAUUAAUCUUAUUCUCAAACAAAAACUAGUUCACAAACUUACUUGCUCAGUAUCAAAACAACCACAAUUCCACCAAGAGUAGAGUGUAUGCAAAUCCUACCCCUACCUUGAGAAGGUAAAGAGAGGUUAUUGCUGAUAGACCCUCGACUGAAUGAACAAUGAAAACGAGGCAGCAAUAACACGCAGAAACAACAACAAGAAAAUAAGAUAACGAGGUUAAAUAAUACUUAACACAUAGUAAUAGUAAUCUAAAGAAAGGGAAAAACAAGAAGAAAAAUAUUAAUACUCUGAGAAUGGAAAGGAAAUACACCCGCCUACCCACUACCCCUCCUACUCUAAUCUUCAACCUCCACCCUCUCCCCUCAAGUUCAUGUCCUCGAUGAGCUAAAGUUGUGUCAUAUCAUGCCUAAUCACCUCACCCCAAUACUUCUUAGGCCUACCUCUACCUCUCCGAAGGAACAACUUUAAAUUUUGGACCCACCUGAGCUUAUCCACAAGAGAAUGAACACCACUGAGCCAUGUCAAAUGCUUUAUUUUUUUAUUCUUUUUUGAAAAGGUAAGAUAUAUAUUAAAAAGGGAACAACUUUGCACUAAGUCGGUAUAAAUAUCAGGAACUCCUGUGUACAAAAAACCAAAAAAAGGAUCCCUAAUGUGAAAGUCUUAUCCUUGUAAAGAUUCUAUGAAAUCUAUCAUACUAUCAUCAUCCUUUACAUCCUGCAGUAGAUUAGGUAAGAUAUAUAUUAAAAAGGGAACAACUUUGCACUAAGUCGGUAUAAAUAUCAGGAACUCCUGUGUACAAAAAACCAAAAAAAGGAUCCCUAAUGUGAAAGUCUUAUCCUUGUAAAGAUUCUAUGAAAUCUAUCAUACUAUCAUCAUCCUUUACAUCCUGCAGUAGAUUACACCAAAAAGUCAGAAUCCAUAAAACAUUUGUAUUUGAUCUGUUGUAAGCUAUUCAUCUUACCCUUCGAAACAUUGGCAUUCCUUAUAUUCCAAAACAUUGAAUAUUGUCAUCAAAGGAUUGAAUG